rnacentral:tRNA from 1 species
GCGGAAGUGGCGGAAUUUGGCAGACGCGUACGGUUCAGGGCCGUAUGGCCGUAAGGUCUUGAGGGUUCAAGUCCCUCCUUCCGCA